GCCUCUCCAACAAGUUUCUGGAACAUCCAUAAGCUCCAGCUCUUUUCCGUAAUUCUUUUCCUGCUGGUGUUCUUGGAGUGAAAUGCUCUGACUUGGAAGUUACGCCCUUCAACUGAUUUUGAUUAUCAGGAUCAGGAAAAGAUGCAGCUGACGAGGGACAGUUCAGCUCCAACUGAAGCUCACAUAAUGCUUCAGCCAUGCUCAACGUCCUUGACCACUGGCAAUUGCAGAGCAGCAUACACUUCACCAUGUCCUCAAACAAUGUCGGCGAUCUAAACACUCUCCCAAAUCCUCUCUCCUUUGCUUCUCCACAGAUCUCCUGAAACAAUUUCACUCUUUUAUUCUCUUCCACUGAUAAUCUCACCAUUCGCCUCACUUGACCCAGCAGAGAGCGUUGGUGUAUAGUAGAAAGGGAAUCAGUAUCGAGAACACGUAGAAGGAGGGAAUGAGGAUAAUCCGACGGUUGAGUAAUUUGGACGAGAACCGAUUGUUCGUGAUCAUCAUCGUUAAUGUUUUCGGAGAGGCGUAGUGGGCGUUCUAGGGUUUUGGAGAGAGUGUCCCAUCGGUUUGGGGCCAUCAUGAAUAAGCCGUGGCUACAUACUGCUUUUUCCAAAUCGAAUGAGGCGCAGUAUCCGUUUCCGUCUUCGAGUGGUAGCUCCACCACCACGCUGCGGUGGCGAUCGAUCUCUUGCCGGUGCUGCAUUUUACUGGUUAGAG
rnacentral:misc_RNA from 1 species